CUUCCGGCCUACAUGGAUCUAGUCAUCUCGCACGUCUCCCUGAUUUGGCCGGCAUAUUUAUGAUUUCUGCUUUAUUAACAACGUCGAUAAAAAGUAAGUGCUAUGAUUUAAUCUCUAAUAACUGUCGACUUAUGUUACGUGAAGGUUUGGCGUCUUGGCUUCCCAUUUAUCUCACCGUAUGACUUGCUAACAGUUAGCUUGUUAGCAUAGCACUGCAUCAAUUUAUACCUGCUGCCACUGAUUUGAAUGAACCUGCAAACCGUACUAAUCGCGCCGUAGGUGAGAUAAGGCUUUUUGUGUUUAUGCUAAAAUCAUUGAAGUGCAGGUCCACUCACUGGCGACUUUAUUAGGUGCACUGAUUCAACUCCUGAUUAACUCAAAUAUUUAAUCAGCCAUGGUCACAUCAACUGGUCCGUGGCUGAAUCAAAUAACAGUUUCUCACACUAACACAUUCCUGCUAUCCCGUCUACAGUAAACAUGUAUGUGUCUGCUCUUUUAAAUGCGUUACAACACAAUGAUGUUAUACUUGUUACAUUUUGCUUCAAGAUUUCCACUAUGGCUUCUCGAGAAGGUCCAAGAGCAUCAGGCACGGAUGGCAGUGACUUUCAGCACCGAGAACGUGUCGCCUCGCACUACCAGAUGAGCGUUGCCCUGAAGUCUGAAAUCCGUAAACUCAACAUCGUCCACGUCCUGAUCUGGGUCCUGACGGCAGCUCAGGUGAUAGUGAGCCAGCUGAGCCUGGUGUCCCACAAGGUGGUUGCCUCUCCAUACCAGUGGGAGUACCCCUACCUGCUGAGCAUAAUUCCCACAGUCUUCAGCUUCUCGGCGCUGCCCCGCAACAACAUAAGCUACUUGGUGGUCUCCAUGAUCAGCGGCGGGCUAUUCUGCGUGGCCCCUCUGAUCUACGGCAGCAUGGAAAUGUUCCCCGUGGCACAGCAGCUGUACCGGCACGGCAAAUCGUACCGCUUCAUCUUCGGCUUCUCCGCCGUGACCGUCAUGUACCUGGUGAUCAUCAUCGCCGUGCAGGUGCACGCCUGGCAGAUCUACUACAGCAAGAAGCUGCUGGACCAGUGGUUCACCAGCACGCAGGACAAGAAGAAGAAAUGAGUCUACGCUCGGGAGAUUUGCAGAACGAUCCGAGAGAAGAGACUCUCAGAAGUACCGACAGUGUAAACACAGCAGGUCUAUCUGGAAGGAAACUGUGAUCACAUGUAAGCGGGUCCUCCGGGCGCCAGCCGACACAGCAGGUCAAGAUCCAGCACGCUCCGUUCCUCAUCGGCCGCCUCACAGCUUCCACUUGACUUUCCUGAUUUUGUGAAUGUGUUCAAAAUGUAAUUCCCUUUGCAGUAAAACAUGUAACCUUAACAAUGACAGCUGUCUGAAGAUGUUGAACCUGAUAUCAUUACUUUAUGGUAUUUCUUCAAAUACUUUGGACUACUUUAGUAUGUUUGGGUUUUUGAGGAGGACUUGGUUGUUUUAACUGAUAUUUCCUACAUACUAUGUUUGCGAUGUACACCACAGUAUAUUUGUUAAUGACUUUGUUAACAUACUAUCUGUGAUGGAAACUUCUGAAGUAUUAUUAUAUAUUUAAUGACGAUGGCUUACAGCUGAUCAAAACCCCAAAAUCAGUAUAUCAGAAAAUUAGAAUAUUACAUAAGACCAAUAAAAAACACAACAGUUUUUAAUAGAACAAUGUCAUAAUGUUCAUGUGUAUGCACUCAGGACUUGGUUGCGCCUCCUUUUGCAUGAAUUACUGCAUCAAUGCAACGUGGAAUCAGCCUGUGGCACUGCUGAGGUGUUAUGGAAGCCCAGGUUGCUUUGAUAGCUCGUCUGCUUUUUUGGGUCUCGUGUCUCUCACCUCCCUCUUGACAAUACCCCGUAGAUUCUCUAUAAGGUUCAGGUCAGGCCAAUUUGCUGACCUAUCGUAAUCAUAACCAGUUCUGAGUACUUUUGGCAGUGUGGGCAGGUGCCAAGUCCUGCUGGAAAAUGAAAUCAGCAUCUCCAUAAAGCUUGUCAGAAGAAGGGCGCAUGAAGUGCCCUGAAACUUCCUGGUAGACGGCUGCGUUGACCUUUGACUUGAGAAAACACAGUGGACCAACACCAGCAGAGGACAUUACCCCCCAAACCAUCAGUGACUGGAAACUGGACUCUCUAGACCCUCCUUGUGGGGGCUGUCUUCUGGAAAACUGUCAAGUCAGCAGUCAUCCCCGUGAUUGGGACGCCUACUGAACCAGAUUGAGGAACCAUUUAAAGGCUCAGGAAUCCUUUGCAGGUGUUUUGAGUUAAUUAGCUGAUUAGAGUGACACUGAGUCUACAGCAUUGAGUAUAUAUAUACACAGUAUAGUUUCACAAUAUGCUCAUUUUCUGAGGUACUGAUUUUUGUGUUGUUUUGUAUCAACAUCAAGACAAAUAAAGGCUUGAAAUAUUUCA